rnacentral:rRNA from 1 species
GAUGAACGCUGGCGGCGUGCCUAAUACAUGCAAGUCGAGCGAACAGACGAGGAGCUUGCUCCUCUGACGUUAGCGGCGGACGGGUGAGUAACACGUGGAUAACCUACCUAUAAGACUGGGAUAACAUCGGGAAACCGGAGCGAAUACCGGAUAAUAUAUUGAACCGCAUGGUUCAAUAGUGAAAGACGGUUUUGCUGUCACUUAUAGAUGGAUCCGCGCCGCAUUAGCUAGUUGGUAAGGUAACGGCUUACCAGGGCAAGGAUGCGUAGCCGACCUGAGGGGGUGGUCGCCGACACGGGAGCGUGAACGGCGUCCUGGGUACUGCGGGAGGCCGCAGUAGCGUAUCUUACGCAGUAGGCGAGAGUCUGACAGAGCGGCGGCACGUGUGAUGUGAAGAUGCUCGGUUCGUGAUACUCUGUUAUUAGGUGAAAACAAAUUUGUACUUUGCUGAGCCCUUCUUGACGGUACCUGAUAAAAAAGCCCCGGCUAACUACGUG